UGCAAGUCGAGCGGACAGAUGGGAGCUUGCUCCCUGAUGUUAGCGGCGGACGGGUGAGUAACACGUGGGUAACCUGCCUGUAAGACUGGGAUAACUCCGGGAAACCGGGGCUAAUACCGGAUGGUUGUUUGAACCGCAUGGUUCAAACAUAAAAGGUGGCUUCGGCUACCACUUACAGAUGGACCCGCGGCGCAUUAGCUAGUUGGUGAGGUAACGGCUCACCAAGGCGACGAUGCGUAGCCGACCUGAGAGGGUGAUCGGCCACACUGGGACUGAGACACGGCCCAGACUCCUACGGGAGGCAGCAGUAGGGAAUCUUCCGCAAUGGACGAAAGUCUGACGGAGCAACGCCGCGUGAGUGAUGAAGGUUUUCGGAUCGUAAAGCUCUGUUGUUAGGGAAGAACAAGUACCGUUCGAAUAGGGCGGUACCUUGACGGUACCUAACCAGAAAGCCACGGCUAACUACGUGCCAGCAGCCGCGGUAAUACGUAGGUGGCAAGCGUUGUCCGGAAUUAUUGGGCGUAAAGGGCUCGCAGGCGGUUUCUUAAGUCUGAUGUGAAAGCCCCCGGCUCAACCGGGGAGGGUCAUUGGAAACUGGGGAACUUGAGUGCAGAAGAGGAGAGUGGAAUUCCACGUGUAGCGGUGAAAUGCGUAGAGAUGUGGAGGAACACCAGUGGCGAAGGCGACUCUCUGGUCUGUAACUGACGCUG
rnacentral:rRNA from 1 species